rnacentral:rRNA from 1 species
GACGUAGGGGGCAAGCGUUGUUCGGAAUUAUUGGGCGUAAAGAGCUCGUAGGCGGUUUGUCGCGUCUGCCGUGAAAGUCCGGGGCUCAACUCCGGAUCUGCGGUGGGUACGGGCAGACUAGAGUGAUGUAGGGGAGACUGGAAUUCCUGGUGUAGCGGUGAAAUGCGCAGAUAUCAGGAGGAACACCGAUGGCGAAGGCAGGUCUCUGGGCAUUAACUGACGCUGAGGAGCGAAAGCAUGGGGAGCGAACAGG